rnacentral:ncRNA from 2 species
AUGUACGUGUGAGACAAUGAAUUGCAGUUUAUAAUUGGUCACGAAGAAUUGCAAGGAGUCAAACGUGAAACCGGCACACUCAUAU